UCAGAUUGAACGCUGGCGGCAGGCCUAACACAUGCAAGUCGAACGGUAACAGGAAGAAGCUUGCUUCUUUGCUGACGAGUGGCGGACGGGUGAGUAAUGUCUGGGAAACUGCCUGAUGGAGGGGGAUAACUACUGGAAACGGUAGCUAAUACCGCAUAACGUCGCAAGACCAAAGAGGGGGACCUUCGGGCCUCUUGCCAUCGGAUGUGCCCAGAUGGGAUUAGCUUGUUGGUGGGGUAACGGCUCACCAAGGCGACGAUCCCUAGCUGGUCUGAGAGGAUGACCAGCCACACUGGAACUGAGACACGGUCCAGACUCCUACGGGAGGCAGCAGUGGGGAAUAUUGCACAAUGGGCGCAAGCCUGAUGCAGCCAUGCCGCGUGUAUGAAGAAGGCCUUCGGGUUGUAAAGUACUUUCAGCGGGGAGGAAGGGAGUAAAGUUAAUACCUUUGCUCAUUGACGUUACCCGCAGAAGAAGCACCGGCUAACUCCGUGCCAGCAGCCGCGGUAAUACGGAGGGUGCAAGCGUUAAUCGGAAUUACUGGGCGUAAAGCGCACGCAGGCGGUUUGUUAAGUCAGAUGUGAAAUCCCCGGGCUCAACCUGGGAACUGCAUCUGAUACUGGCAAGCUUGAGUCUCGUAGAGGGGGGUAGAAUUCCAGGUGUAGCGGUGAAAUGCGUAGAGAUCUGGAGGAAUACCGGUGGCGAAGGCGGCCCCCUGGACGAAGACUGACGCUCAGGUGCGAAAGCGUGGGGAGCAAACAGGAUUAGAUACCCUGGUAGUCCACGCCGUAAACGAUGUCGACUUGGAGGUUGUGCCCUUGAGGCGUGGCUUCCGGAGCUAACGCGUUAAGUCGACCGCCUGGGGAGUACGGCCGCAAGGUUAAAACUCAAAUGAAUUGACGGGGGCCCGCACAAGCGGUGGAGCAUGUGGUUUAAUUCGAUGCAACGCGAAGAACCUUACCUGGUCUUGACAUCCACGGAAGUUUUCAGAGAUGAGAAUGUGCCUUCGGGAACCGUGAGACAGGUGCUGCAUGGCUGUCGUCAGCUCGUGUUGUGAAAUGUUGGGUUAAGUCCCGCAACGAGCGCAACCCUUAUCCUUUGUUGCCAGCGGUCCGGCCGGGAACUCAAAGGAGACUGCCAGUGAUAAACUGGAGGAAGGUGGGGAUGACGUCAAGUCAUCAUGGCCCUUACGACCAGGGCUACACACGUGCUACAAUGGCGCAUACAAAGAGAAGCGACCUCGCGAGAGCAAGCGGACCUCAUAAAGUGCGUCGUAGUCCGGAUUGGAGUCUGCAACUCGACUCCAUGAAGUCGGAAUCGCUAGUAAUCGUGGAUCAGAAUGCCACGGUGAAUACGUUCCCGGGCCUUGUACACACCGCCCGUCACACCAUGGGAGUGGGUUGCAAAAGAAGUAGGUAGCUUAACCUUCGGGAGGGCGCUUACCACUUUGUGAUUCAUGACUGGGGUGAAGUCGUAACAAGGUAACCGUAGGGGAACCUGCGGUUGGAUCAC
rnacentral:rRNA from 1 species